rnacentral:rRNA from 1 species
GACGAACGCUGGCGGCGUGCUUAACACAUGCAAGUCGAACGGAAAGGCCCUGCUUUUGUGGGGUGCUCGAGUGGCGAACGGGUGAGUAACACGUGAGUAACCUGCCCUUGACUUUGGGAUAACUUCAGGAAACUGGGGCUAAUACCGGAUAGGAGCUCCUGCUGCAUGGUGGGGGUUGGAAAGUUUCGGCGGUUGGGGAUGGACUCGCGGCUUAUCAGCUUGUUGGUGGGGUAGUGGCUUACCAAGGCUUUGACGGGUAGCCGGCCUGAGAGGGUGACCGGCCACAUGGGGACUGAGAGACGGCCCAGACUGCUACGGGAGGCAGCAGGGGGGAAUAUUGCACAAUGGGCGGAAGCCUGAUGCAGCAACGCCGCGUGCGGGAUGACGGCCUUCGGGUUGUAAACCGCUUGCGCCUGUGACGAAGCGUGAGUGACGGUAAUGGGUAAAGAAGCACCGGCUAACUACGUG